CGGGGUAACUCUGUGCUCCGCUGUCCCUCCUCAGGUACCUACUUCACGCACGAAGCCAAAGGUGCAGACGACGCGGCGGACGCAGACACAGCCAUCAUCAAUGCAGAGGGCGGCCACACCAACUCGGACGAAAAGAAGGAGUAUUACAUCUAACCCGAACCGGGGGGACCCCCGCCCCCGCCCUCGCUCGGGUGUUGUCGCCGGCACGCCGAGCCGCUUUCCCGGGGAUGGGGCAGGGGGGUUUUUUGACGGAUUCGGAUCGCUUUUUGGUGAAAGGGAUGGAGGAGGGAUUUUGAAGGAAAGGCCUGGUUUUACGCCGUCGUUUAGUCUAGUCUGCAGAUGUAGAUGGAAUGUUAUUUGUGUUUAAGAUAAAAAAGAUAAAAUAUUAAAAAAAAUAAAUAAAAGCGAGUUGGGGGGUGGGGAGUGGGUGGGUGUGGGUGGGGGCGCCAGAUGUUGGCAGAAAUCACUGUAGAGAGCUUCACCAUUUAACACCUCCCUAACUGCUGGUACGAAGUUUAUCUUUUAGUUCCACCAUUUGCAGAAAAUUCUGUGCCUUGUUCUGAAUUUUUUUUUGUUCUCUCCACACUCUAGAUCCGUGCUGAUCGUCAUUUGCAUAACCUCGUUGCUCUUUUUUCCCCGUUUUCAUCUUUUCUUCCCCCCCCCAACACUUGUUAUUAUCAGCCUGCUGUCGGCUUUUGUAUGAGGGUAAAAUUACACAGCCACUUUAUUCAUUUCUCUAAAUGUGUCUGCACACGCGCGCUCUACUCCUCUCCUGCAUAACAAACACUCUUUCAAGUAUACUGUGAUUUGUCUCAAGCCAUUUCCUCUCUCUUUUUCCUCUGAGGUUCUGAAGACGUAAUGCAUGGAGUGCUUUGUGUGUCACUGUACGGACAGCCUAAACCAGACACAGGUUUGUUUUUAUUGAACUCCCCCACCAACAACACCUAGAAGUAUAGGCAGAAGCAAGGAUGCAAAGGUUUAUGGGUCAUUUUGCCUCUUCUUCUAAUUUCUAUUGAAUCUGGAAACAAACAAAUUCAUACAUUUUGUACGUGAACUGGUUGAAUCUCAUGCAAACUUUAAUUUAUUUGUAUAUAACUGUGUAUUAAACCGUCAUUUAUUUAUUUUUAUCCUACAAUUGAUUCUGACCCUUAAUUAAAUCAAAAUAACAUUAAAUGACCUCCAGAUUGUAGAUAUUAUUAACUACAGACUUACUGUGUCUUCCCACCUGAUAGUCUGGUAGACUUGGCUCGAUUGGGAAUAAAAGUUGCACAUUUGUUUCACCUGGAGUCAAACCAACCAAACCCUUUGAGCAACACGUUCCCCUCCUUACCUGUGGAGGUGCUGCACCAAGACCCACUGGAGGAAACGACAUAAAAACGACACAGAGUGCAACUUCCUUUUUCAUCAGACAGCAUAAAAAUGGAACGCAAUCGGGCUUUAGGGGGUGGAGGAUUUGUAUUUUAUCUUUGGGCAAAAACUACGAGCCAUUUCUUUCACUUAGGCUAACACGUUUGUUUUGGGUGUAGUUACCCAGAAUGCCCUCCGCUGUAUUCCACUUCCUGCUUCUGGAGCGGUCUCUGGUCCGCUUGGUGUUCACAUUUAGAACCAAACCAGAGUUCACUUUUCUGACAAAAUAGUGACGAGGCAAAAUGACCAGAACGUUUGCAAAAAUAAACACUGAAAGAUUUUUACCAAUCUUGACCUACUUUCUAAAUUACAUCCCUAAUUUUCUUCCAUAUUGCUUAAUUAAAAUUUUCUCCUGUUUCUUAUGAUUAAAACGCCUGUACAUAUCAGUGUUUCAGUUUGUUUGCAUUUUCUCUCAAUCUGAAGUAUUAUUUUUCUUCCAAGUGGAGAAAAUAAAAUGUCCUAUUUCAGGGGAGACGCCUGGUUGUUGAAGUGCAGGAUGCUCGUGUUGUGUAGUUAACGCAGUAGAAAGAACCGCCUUAACCAGUUUUAAACUGAAACAUCUGUAAGUUUGAACUUCAUUUGAGCUCUCGCGGGCGUUGGUCAGUGGGUUCAUCAUUUAUUCUCAUAAACACUGGAUGUAGACGAAGCCAGAGGAGUCACAAAUCCUUUUUACAGCCUCCCAGAGUAACGCCUGAACACCUCGGUUCUCAUCUUAAGUUCUGUCAAACGGAGAGGAAACCGAACAGCUCUGAGGGUCACACCACUCGGGUUCUGCUUUCGCCCGCCCGCUUUUCGAAUGCUUCGAUAUUUCACACAUUCUUUGCAUGUCUGUAUUUGCGCUCGGAUCGUUUCGGUUCCACUUCAGCACCAGCUGCCAGAACCUAACCGGAGUCGGUUUGGAGUUAUGCCAAAAGUCAUUGUUUGCCUGUAAAAUAACUUCCUUCACAUUUUCUGCUCUGUGCCGUUAAUCCGUUGUUUGCAUCAGCUUGUCAACAGUGCAGAGCGCCUGGUGGUUCUGCUGUGGUUCUUAUGAGUUCACACAGCAAGCAACACGUUUAAUGAGUCCAGGACAGAUGUGGGUGGGUGUGGGUGGAGGUAGCGGCUGGAGCUUCCAGUGGGAAUAUUUAGCGGUUUUUACUCCUCGUGUCACAUAAAGCUUAUAUGCCAUCAUCUGCAUCACUGUCAUUUUAAUUCUGGGUGUUUUUCCAGGGCAAAAUGACUAAAUGAACAAGUUAGAACAGGUCUGUGGGCAUUAAAAACAAUUUCAUCACUUUUUAUUUUUUGCAAAAAAUCAUUCUUAGAUAAUGUGAUUUUAGUCUCCUCAGUAUGGCCUCUGUCACUUCAAAUUAAGCUGCUGCUGGCCAAAUCCCCCAACUCAAUGUUUACACUCGCAGGUGAAAAUGGCUGCAAACAGAGGAGCAAUUAUACAACUAUACAUCUUCAAAAAGCAUUAGUAGAGCCUCCUGCAUAACCAACAAGAACACAGCAAAUGGUUUCUGGAUGGUAAGUCAACAACAAAACAUUUCUGCUCUUAUACAACAGUAAAACCAACUGACCAAACAUUCUGGAGCUCAGUUUUGGGUUGCUAGGUGAUGGGCUGAGAUCUGCUGGGGUUGCUAGGUAACAGGGCAGUGCCUGCUGAUUAGGGACAUUACAUUCUGGAGAUUUUUGAAACAGCUAAUUUUCCAGACACCAAACAAUAUGAACGUAUUGCCAAAAACAGCUGAGUGGUUUUGUUUUAAGUGCUUGGGGUGUUGUUAGAAGCUGUAGCCAAGUGGACAUACAAAAACCUGCAAAAUAUGAUUUUUGUUUAAUGCAGCCCCUUUAAACAUCAACCGCAAUUAAUGGAUUUUGUGGGGGGGGGGAAUUAUUUUUAAAAGUUUGAGUUUAUGGACUUUAUUUAAUUCAGAUGGCAAAAUCAUGAAUAUAUGCUCAAACAUUUAAAACCAUGUGAAAACAAUGAAUUAAUCCCACCGAAUAUCUUGGACGUUUAUGUAUAAAGAAUCCUAAGACUAAAAUUAGCUCCUAACACCAUCAAGAAAAUGCUCAAAAUUUUGGAAACGUUAUCCUUUUUCUUAGAAUUUUCCCUCAGUACGCUAAACAUUUUUCAUACAGCAUCAUAGGCAUUAAGACCUAACCUGAUAAAAUGUUAGAGGUAGUGAUAUGACUCUUAGUGAGCGUAAAAAUAUCUUAUGAUGGCAGAAAGUCCAGCAGAAAGGCGAAAUAUUCUCUGUGAAAUGGAGAGAUCUCUGCCAGCAGCAGGCUCUGCUCCGGCUGUUUGGUUUUCCAUUACUUCCUUAUUUUGUGGCAAUUUCUUCACAUUAAAACAAGUUUAUACAAACAACCAGUCACAGUGAACUGCUGGCAGCUGAGCACCCACAUGCAAUUCAAACUCUCCCUUCCUGUUUUUAUAUAUGUAUUUAUAUAGUGUCACUUGACUGUAGAAGAAGAAACUUUAAAAUAAUCAUUUCAAAUAAUCAACAGCUGAAAAUCUCUAAAACUGACUAAAUCCCUUAAUCACCUCUGUAUAAAGUUGGCCGCUCAGACAAUUUGUUCUGAUUGACCUUUUGUCAGACCUUCUGACUCACAGUUAGUCUGAUAAUCACUGAUAUAAUUAAUGAAAUAGAGUUUUAAUCAGAACUAACUAAUCAACCCUCUUAGAUCAAAAGACAUUACAGAGAAGUGGAGAAAAGAUAACGACAAUAAACAACAAAAUAUACAAGAAAAAUGUUGAGCAUCACCCAGAUCAGUCAUAAAAUUUGCAUUUAAGCUAUCAUGAGCAUUUUAGCUAAGUUUAUCUUUUCAACAGGUGUUUGCAAACUGAAUAGGGAAUGCUACUGAUAUUUCAGUGAUAGCCCUCAUGCUAGCAUCAGCAAUUUAGUUAAAAUUGUCAUUUGAGCUCAAUAUACUGAAUGGAGUGAGUUCAUGUUAGUCAACAUGCUAGGUUUAGCCCAUAUGCUUUUAACAACAUUUUAUCUAACAUUAGCUUUUUAGCUAGUUUUGACCUAACACCUCUGUCUUCUGCUGACUUUAUUUAUUAUAUUUUUUCAGUUCAUCAUCACUAUAAAUACAUAUCAGUCAAACCCACUGAAAGUUUUGGACUGAAAACUACUUUUAGAGUUCCUGUUUGGGGAACUGGGUGUUGCUUGCAGUGGGUCCUCAUAUCCACCACUAGUUGUGACUUUUAAGCAUUUCAUUGUAUUUUAUAAAUGUGAACCACAUCAGCUGUGCGAUAGCUUUAAUAUAUCAUUGUCAUGCAUGAAGACAGCAUUCAGGCUUUCUAUGUUGGGGAUUUGAAGCUGAGGUUUGUCUCAAAGGAACUGACUGAAAUGCAUUCUUUAUCCUUUCCCCGUCUGUGUUAAUGAAAUGUUUGCAGCCCUAGAAAAGAACAGUUGGGAUAGCUGUAGCUGGGAGUUUAAUUUUUUGGCUUUUUCACCGGACGUGUACAUAUUAGUUACACACAUUUCAUGUACUCGAUUUAAGAAGUCACGUAUAAAUCACCACUAUGUUCACUCUGUAUGCUGACGACACUGUUUUGUGUUUGUGUAAACUGGAUGGGUGGGGGUAGGGCAACGGGGGACUGAUUAGGUUAGAUGUUUCACGGUCUGGUGUCUGAAUAAAAAAAAUGACAAACAAAUAUCUGACUGGUUAUUGUUGCUUUAUGGAUCACAGAGCAGAUACCACUUCAUCUGUUAGGCUGCAACUUUGUGAUUUGUAUUCUACAGUGAGCACUGUUUUUGCUUCCAUGACCAAUGGCAGCUUCCACUUAGAUCCAGUUUUAAGACAUGAAGUCGUCAAUACAGGAACUGACGGGGAUGUUGUUUCUUCCUUAAGACCAAUUUGUUGAUUUUGACCUUUUUUGUACUCCUAAAAACAUGAAAGAUAUCAUUUGUGUAUGUUGAAUUAAUCAGAUUGGAAUAAAUGACACAUAAGGUUUUGAUUUAUUUUUCUGGAUAUUCCCUGUAAAUUAAAAACAAAAAAAGAACGCACAUUUGUUGUAACUGAGGUAGUUUCCUGCACAUUGGAUCCCUUUGAUAAUGUCCUGUCUCAGGUUCAUGUGUUGCUGACCGAUGUGACUGCAUCUCAGGUAGAAUGCAAAGUUUAGGCCCCACCUGUCGCCAACAUAAAGGCAUGUACAAAUGCGUUCAUCAAGUCCAGAAGUGCAAACACAUUCUUUUUAGGUCCAGAACUGGUGAGAUGUUUUGCAUAUACAAUAUGUUGUACAUGUUUUAUGUAUUUUUUCUUAAUAUUUGGUGCACUGUAAAAAAAA